rnacentral:rRNA from 1 species
UCGAGGAUCUUCGGCAAUGGGCGCAAGCCUGACCGAGCGACGCCGCGUGCGCGAUGAAGGCCUUCGGGUUGUAAAGCGCUGUCGAGGGGGAGGAAGGCCCGCAAGGGCUUGACCUAUCCCUGGAGGAAGCACGGGCUAAGUUCGUGCCAGCAGCCGCGGUAAGACGAACCGUGCGAACGUUGUUCGGAAUCACUGGGCUUAAAGGGCGCGUAGGCGGCGGAGCACGUCCGGGGUGAAAGCUUUCGGCUCAACCGGAAAAGGGCCUGGGAUACGGCUUCGCUGGAGGGGGGUAGGGGGCAGCGGAACUUCCGGUGGAGCGGUGAAAUGCGUUGAUAUCGGAAGGAACGCCGGUGGCGAAAGCGGCUGCCUGGACCCUUACUGACGCUGAGGCGCGAAAGCCAGGGGAGCGAACGGGAUUAGAUACCCCUGUAGUCC